rnacentral:rRNA from 1 species
UACGGAGGAUCCAAGCGUUAUCCGGAUUUAUUGGGUUUAAAGGGUGCGUAGGCGGCCUGUUAAGUCAGGGGUGAAAGGCGGUAGCUCAACUAUCGCAGUGCCCUUGAUACUGAUGGGCUUGAAUGGACUAGAGGUAGGCGGAAUGUGACAAGUAGCGGUGAAAUGCAUAGAUAUGUCACAGAACACCGAUUGCGAAGGCAGCUUACUAUGGUCCUAUUGACGCUGAGGCACGAAAGCGUGGGGAUCAAACAGG